rnacentral:misc_RNA from 1 species
GAAAAAAAAAAAGACGUCUUAUUAGAAAUGAUAUUUUUUGGAAUUAGGCCUGAAACAGGGCUAACAAUUAGGAGUGAUGGCUUGUGUCUGGAAUGUUGGAAUGACAAUCAUAAUGCCAUGUGUUAACCUAUGUGCAGCCACGAUUUUUAUCACACUUAUUAUAAGCCAUUUAGAAUUGUAAUGUGCCAUAAGCUGCUGAAAAUUUUUAUUACAUGGCAUGCUAUGACUGUGGCACUGAUAAUGGGACUUGUGUUUGGAAGCAAUGGGUCAUAUUAGUUUUAGUGGUUGCUCUGAAGAUCAAAGUGGUGGUUGUAUGUUAGCCUUAGUGGCUUUCAUAGAAAUGGAGUUAAAUCAUCUGUGGCUGCUGCAGUGGUCAGAUUGGUUGCUCCGGUGAACGUAAGGUGAUUGCUGUCUUGGAAUUGACUGUGGCUUUGUGGGGAUUGAAUUUAUAGUUUCUGGAAAAAAAAAGAUUGGUCAUCUGCAGUCAAAAUGAUAACAGUCUUACUGAUAUUAGUUAGCAAGUCUCAUGUUUUCAUGUAUUCAAAGCAAUGGGAUUCUGUAUCUGUUGUUGGCAGUGAGGGUUGACUAGCGGUACUGCAUUGGUGUUUAGACAACUAUAGUAUAAAACAAUCCAGGUUUUUUUUCCUUUUUAUUUUUUCCUCACAGCAUAUAUUGAUUCAACUUUUUCUUUUUAAUUGUGAGGUAUUGGUGAAUGACCUAUCUUUCUCUCUUUAGUUAAUUUUAUAAUUCCUAAUAUACAUAACUCUAAAGCUGGACUUAUGUUUCUAAUUUCACAGCUGGAAUUUGAA